AGUUUUAAAAGAGGCAACCAUUUGUAGAGGAGUCCUUGAAGGAUUCUUCAUUGUUUUCUUGGACAAAAAGAGACCAGUGGAUCCAAGUGCUUCAAAUACUUCUCUCUUAUUUUCUUAACUCUAUUGCUCUGCAAUAUUUACUUUACCCUGUUAAUGAACAGGACAAAAUGGUUAAAAAAGAGAUAAGCGUGCGUCAACAAAUUCAGGCUCUUCUGUACAAGAAUUUUCUUAAAAAAUGGAGAAUAAAAAGAGAGUUUAUUGGAAUGGACAAUAACAUUGUUUCUAGGGCUAUAUUUGUGCAUCUUUUCGGAACACUUCAGAGCUACCCGUUUUCCUGAACAACCUCCUAAAGUCCUGGGAAGCGUGGAUCAGUUUAAUGACUCUGGCCUGGUAGUGGCAUAUACACCAGUCAGUAACAUAACACAAAGGAUAAUGAAUAAGAUGGCCUUGGCUUCCUUUAUGAAAGAGAAAAUCAGUGAUGUUAGCACUGUCCUCAUAAAAGUUUCACCGCCUGACUCUAUAUUGGGAAGGAUGAGGAGUUUUGAAAGGAAGAACAGUCAUUGGGACA
rnacentral:lncRNA from 1 species